UACGUAGGGGGCAAGCGUUGUCCGGAUUUAUUGGGCGUAAAGAGCGUGUAGGCGGUCCGGUAAGUCCGCUGUGAAAGUCCAGGGCUCAACCCUGGAAUGCCGGUGGAUACUGCCGGGCUAGAGUCCGGAAGAGGCGAGUGGAAUUCCUGGUGUAGCGGUGAAAUGCGCAGAUAUCAGGAGGAACACCGAUGGCGAAGGCAGCUCGCUGGGACGGUACUGACGCUGAGACGCGAAAGCGUGGGGAGCAAACAGGA
rnacentral:rRNA from 1 species